UGUUUCGCUGUUUCUGGAUUACUCUUUAGUAAUAGGGCUGUUAAUACAGCUGUCCCCAGAGUCACUGCUGGAAUUCCCAAACCUUGUGCUAGAAUCCGGUUAUUCAUAUUCUUCAAUUGCUUCAAUCUGAUUCUGUUUUUAGAAUGCUCUUUAAUGGCCAGGUGUCAAGGCUGAAGAGAUGCUUGAGCGAGUGAUGGUUCAAACAACGGAUUCAGUAAAUGCAUAUAUAGGGACGAAGGAAGGUUGGUUGAUCUUAGCUUUUAGCUGCAUGAGUCAUCUAAGCCUCAUCAACAUGUGUCUGUUGUCUUCUAGAAAGAGAUUUAAGAUAGGUAAAGUCUUCUAUUGCAUGGGGUAGCAUUUCAAGAAGGACACGUUGCAUGCUUGCUCUUGCUGACUGUGUGUCAAGAUUGUCCACGUAAGUAGCUCAAUGGAUUCCAUUUGCACUACUAGCAUACAACUUUCCAGGGAAAGCGGCUAGCUGCCAAGACCGGACAAAUAUUUUGGGACAGAGGGAGUACUAGUAGACUACUCUUGCUUUGAAGCAUAGCAACCCUAAGUAAAGAAAUUUGUACAAAAUAGUAUCUAGUGUUAUGCGGUGACUGAAGCUGUCUCAUCGAUCUUGGGAGAGUGCCUGCUGAAGAUAUUUGAAGGUUUUUCGAAAAUUCAGGAAUCCCAUAAACCAGAAAUCAAAAUUGUCUUCUGUAACUACGUAUAUGUACUUCUGUGAUGGUCUCUUCAUGUGUUGGCUUUCGUUGGCUCUCAGUAUUUUUCCUAUUGGGAUCAACACCUGCAUAGAAUAGAUAUUGGUUAAGCUAUUUCCCAUGUAGCAAAACCUUGAAGGCAUGGAGUAAUGUAACUAUGCUAUGUUGGCCCACCUUAUAGUGAAUUCUAAGCUCGCCUGUUGGAGAAGAGGUUAUGAUGGAUCUCUCGCUGCAGAAGGCAACCUUGUCAGUGGAGAUAAAGAGGAGGCCUGCUAUAGGGCCUGCUGUUGUUGAUAAAUAGCACUGGGAAACCUUUAGCAGCUUCUCUCCUUCUCUAACACUAAAGUGGUGCUUGAAAAGCUUCUCUAUUCCACCUGCUUUGAGAAUUUUGGUCCCCAAGCUCAAUUUGCCCUUUACAGUUUCAGCGAUCUUGGGCCCUAAUCUCACUGCAAUCAUAGCAAUAUACAAUAAGUCUCAUAAGAAUUUUUCUGGCAUUUUGUUGGAUGGAAAAAAGUCUGAUUGUAUUGUAGUAUCUAGCUAUUCUGAGCCCAAUUGAAGCAAGGAAAUAGUUACCAUGCUCUCGGAUGCCAUUUGCAA